UACAGAGGUCCCAAGCGUUGUUCGGAUUCAUUGGGCGUAAAGGGUGCGUAGGCGGCGCGGUAAGUCGGGUGUGAAAUCUCGGGGCUUAACUCCGAAACUGCAUUCGAUACUGCCGUGCUUGAGGACUGGAGAGGAGACUGGAAUUUACGGUGUAGCGGUGAAAUGCGUAGAUAUCGUAAGGAAGACCAGUGGCGAAGGCGGGUCUCUGGGCCGGUACUGACACUGAGGAGCGAAAGCGUGGGUAGCAAACAGG
rnacentral:rRNA from 1 species